rnacentral:rRNA from 1 species
GACGAACGCUGGCGGCGUGCUUAACACAUGCAAGUCGAACGAAGAGCGAUGGAAGCUUGCUUCUAUCAAUCUUAGUGGCGAACGGGUGAGUAACGCGUAAUCAACCUGCCCUUCAGAGGGGGACAACAGUUGGAAACGACUGCUAAUACCGCAUACGAUCUAAUCUCGGCAUCGAGGAUAGAUGAAAGGUUGCCUCUACAUGUAAGCUAUCACUGAAGGAGGGGAUUGCGUCUGAUUAGCUAGUUGGAGGGGUAACGGCCCACCAAGGCGAUGAUCAGUAGCCGGUCUGAGAGGAUGAACGGCCACAUUGGGACUGAGACACGGCCCAGACUCCUACGGGAGGCAGCAGUGGGGAAUCUUCCGCAAUGGACGAAAGUCUGACGGAGCAACGCCGCGUGAGUGAUGACGGCCUUCGGGUUGUAAAGCUCGGUUAAUCGGGACGAAAGGCCUUCUUGCGAAUAGUGAGAAGGAUUGACGGUACCGGAAUAGAAAGCCACGGCUAACUACGUG